rnacentral:rRNA from 1 species
GGAUUAGAUACCCUGGUAGUCCACGCUGUAAACGAUGAUUACUCGCUAUUGGCGAUACACUGUCAGUGGCUAAGCGAAAGUGAUAAGUAAUCCACCUGGGGAGUACGCCCGCAAGGGUGAAACUCAAAGGAAUUGACGGGGGCCCGCACAAGCGGUGGAGCAUGUGGUUUAAUUCGAUGAUACGCGAGGAACCUUACCAGGGUUUAAAUGCAGAACGACAGGGGUGGAAACACCCCCUUCUUCGGACGGACUGCAAGGUGCUGCAUGGUUGUCGUCAGCUCGUGCCG